rnacentral:rRNA from 1 species
UUGGCCGGAAGGUCCGGGUAAUCUUGUGAAACUUUGUCGUGCUGGGGAUAGAGCAUUGCAAUUAUUGCUCUUCAACGAGGAAUGCCUAGUAGGCGCAAGUCAUCAGCUUGCGUCGAUUACGUCCCUGCCCUUUGUACACACCGCCCGUCGCUACUACCGAUUGAAUGGCUUAGUGAGGUCUCCGGAUUGGCUUCGAGGCUCGGCAACGGGUCCUUGUUGCUGAGAAGCUGAUCAAACUUGGUCAUUUAGAGGAAGUAAAAGUCGUAACAAGGUUUCCGUAGGUGAACCUGCGGAAGGAUCAUUAAUGAUUGCGAAUGGUUGCCUUCAGUGCUGGCUCUCCAGAGCAAGUGCACGUUGGUGGCUUUCAUCCAAUUCCACACCCUGUGAACCUUUGGCCUCUUGCUGGCUUCGGCUGGCAGAGGAUUUUACACAUACACGAAUGUACUGAAAACAAUUGUUGUGCGCAAGCACUAAUAUACAACUUUCAACAACGGAUCUCUUGGCUCUCGCAUCGAUGAAGAACGCAGCGAAAUGCGAUAAGUAAUGUGAAUUGCAGAAUUCAGUGAAUCAUCGAAUCUUUGAACGCACCUUGCACCCUUUGGAAUUCCAAAGGGUAUGCUCGUUUGAGUGUCAUUGUACUCUCACACUCUCCGAUCCUUUGGAUUUGGGGAGCGGUGGACUUGGGUGCUUGCUGCUUUCCUUGUGGCUCACCUCAAAUGUGUUAGUGCAUCUCUUGAUUGGACAUAGUACGGCGUGAUAAGUGUCUUCGCCGGCACCUCAUAAGAGGGUGGCCGAUUGGGAGCUCUGUGCUUUCAAACCGUCUUCGGACAACUUCUGACAACUUGACCUCAAAUCGAGUAGGACUACCCGCUGAACUUAAGCAUAUCAAUAAGCGGAGGAAAAGAAACUAACAAGGAUUCCCCUAGUAACGGCGAGUGAAGAGGGAAGAGCUCAAAUUUUGAAUCUGGCGUCUUUGGCGUCCGAAUUGUAAUCUAGAGAAGUGUUUUCCGUGACGGACUGUGCAUAAGUCUCCUGGAAUGGAGCGUCAUAGAGGGUGAGAAUCCCGUAUAUGGCACAGACUACCGUUGCCCUGUGAUACACUCUCGACGAGUCGAGUUGUUUGGGAAUGCAGCUCUAAAUGGGUGGUAAAUGCCAUCUAAAGCUAAAUAUUGGCGAGAGACCGAUAGCGAACAAGUACCGUGAGGGAAAGAUGAAAAGCACUUUGGAAAGAGAGUGAAACAGUACGUGAAAUUGUUGAAAGGGAAACGCUUGAAGUCAGUCGCACUGUUCGGGAUUCAGCCUUGCUUCUGCUCGGUUUACUUCCUGUUCAGUGGGUCAACAUCAGUUUCGGUCGGAGGAGAAAGGCUUGGGGAAUGUGGCAGCAUUCGUGCUGUGUUAUAGCCCCUUGUUGUAUACUUCGACUGGGACUGAGGACCGCAGCACGCCUCUGGCCGGGGUUCGCCCACGUACGUGCUUAGGAUGUUGGCAUAAUGGCUUUAAGCGACCCGUCUUGAAACACGGACCAAGGAGUCUAACAUGUGCGCGAGUGUUUGGGUGUUAAACUCGGACGCGAAAUGAAAGUGAAAAGUUGGGAACACUCAUGUGUGCACCGACGCCCGGAGCUGACCUUCUGUGACGCAUCUGCGGUAGAGCGUAUAUGUUGGGACCCGAAAGAUGGUGAACUAUGCCUGAAUAGGGUGAAGCCAGAGGAAACUCUGGUGGAGGCUCGUA